UUAUAAAAGUAUGGGCAUGGUACUGGCAUUGACUGUUCUCAAUUGAUUACAGUAUUUUAGUUGCAUCAAAAAUAUGCAAACACUCCACUAGCAAAGAGUUACUCCAGGGUGAAGAUAGGAUUGGGCCCAAUAUGUGUUAUUUGAGAGACUCAAUGACGGCUUUACACCUACUUGUGAAUGGUGGGUCAGGCUUAACUAAGGAGUGGGGC
rnacentral:lncRNA from 1 species